rnacentral:lncRNA from 1 species
GAUUCGUAUAUUCCACAGAUUUCGCUUUUCAUAAAAAUCCUAUAUUCAUCUUUCAAAUACGAUCUUAACAACCAAACAUACUCUAUGCUCUACUAUAUAUAUGACGCUAUGAAUAGAAAACCACAUCACCCUCACAAUCAAACAUACCACGGCUCAUUGAAAUGGCAGCGUCAUUUGCUUUCCUCAAGGAUGUUAGGCCAUACAAAACG